rnacentral:rRNA from 1 species
GACGAACGCUGGCGGCGUGCCUAAUACAUGCAAGUAGAACGCAGUUGCGAACGGGUGAGUAACGCGUAGGUAACUGCCUGGUAGCGGGGGAUAACUAUUGGAAACGAUAGCUAAUACCGCAUACUACCAGAUGGACCUGCGUUGUAUUAGCUAGUUGGUGGGGUAACGGUUCACCAAGGCAACGAUACAUAGCCGACCUGGGAGGGGGAUCGGCGACACUGGGACUGAGACACGGGCCAGACUCCGACGGGAGGAAGCAGUAGGGAAGCGUCGGCAAUGGGGGGAACCCUGACCGAGCAACGCCGCGUGGGUGAAGAAGGUUGUCGGAUCGUAAAGCUCUGUUGUUAAGGAAGCGGUACUUAACCAGAAAGGGACGGCUAACUACGUGCCAGCAGCCGCGGUAAUUC